rnacentral:rRNA from 1 species
CGCGUAGGCGGCUUUUCAAGUCAGGCGUGAAAGCCCCGGGCUUAACCUGGGAAUUGCGCUUGAGACUGGGGAGCUAGAGUAUGGGAGAGGAUGGUGGAAUUCCCAGUGUAGAGGUGAAAUUCGUAGAUAUUGGGAAGAACACCGGUGGCGAAGGCGGCCAUCUGGACCAUCACUGACGCUGAGGCGCGAAAGCGUGGGGAGCAAACA